rnacentral:rRNA from 1 species
UGAACGCUGGCGGCGUGCUUAACACAUGCAAGUCGAACGAGAAAGGGAUUGCUUGCAAUCCUGAGUAGAGUGGCGCACGGGUGAGUAACACGUAGAUAAUCUACCUUCAAGUCUGGGAUAACUAUUCGAAAGGAUAGCUAAUACCGGAUAAAGUAUUUUAACGCAAGUUAAACUAUGAAAGGCAGCCUCUAUUUAUAAGCUGUUGUUUGGAGAUGAGUUUGCGGACCAUUAGUUAGUUGGUAGGGUAACGGCCUACCAAGACUGCGAUGGUUAGCUGGUCUGAGAGGAUGAUCAGUCACACUGGAACUGGAACACGGUCCAGACUCCUACGGGAGGCAGCAGUGAGGAAUUUUGCGCAAUGGGGGUAACCCUGACGCAGCAACGCCGCGUGAGUGAAGAAGGCCUUUGGGUCGUAAAGCUCUGUCAACUAGGAAGAAAUUAGAUAUAUUUAAUAGAUGUAUCUAUUGACGGUACUAGUGGAGGAAGCGCCGGCUAACUCC